rnacentral:lncRNA from 1 species
CAUCAUCUGGGAGGAGAACUGUCCUCGGGGGAAUUUUUUCUGGGGGCUCACGGAGUAAUCAUGAUCAUAACACAUAAUUAUGCAUAGCAAUCCUAGUAGAAACACUGGCCAGAAUGUGAAUAACAAUUCAGAAAAAAAAAUGAUAAAGAUGACACAGGGUGGACAUCAUAUCAUUAAAUGUGCUAACAUCCCCAAGAGGCAGCCUCUGUGACCACUUUUAUUCUAACUGGUUAAAGAAAUUAUUCAUUACUGCAUUAAGCAGCUUACUUUUCUUUUCAUCUUCUCUGUGGCAAUUUAAGAACUUAUUCCACUUUCCCCAUACUCAUAUAUUUCGAGUCCUCUUCUUUUCUAACACUUUUUUUUUUUUUCCUUUUAAUGCACAGGUAUUGUUAUACCAAGGUCAGUGACAGCAACAUCUGGCCUGUAUUUCUGAUGUGUGCUUAGUUACAUUAAAGUAAUUAGUUAAUUUGUAGGUGUGCAAACAGCUGCUAGUACCAGGAAUAAUUUGUUUCAGCUGAAAGCAGAAAUGAAAACAUCAACGUACAUUAUUUAUUUUUACCCAAAGAACAGGGUAAAUUUGAGAAAAACAAACAAACAAACAAAAACAUUAAACAGUGGAAAAAAGAAAGAAGUGCCCACUACGUGGUGAAGGACCGUGACACUUUCUCCAGUGGACUGCUAUCUGCACGUUGUCUCAGAUGCCACACACCCGCCUCUGCAAAGCUUUGGGAGACUGCACUGCUUUGUGCUAGCUGGACACGUUUUGCAGCUAGGAGAACAAUCCUGUUGGCGCUUUGCUUCUGCCCUGGCCUUUGAUGCGGGGCUGCUCUGAGGCUGCAUCUCCGCAGACUGGAGGGAUCUGACACGAACACUGAGCCAGCACAUCAGGCUGAAAUAAGGAACGCUGCGUUUUGCAGACCACUGGCAGGAUAAAAGCCCACAGCACACCCACUGGUAAAUCAAGCACAUUCCUUCAAGCCAGGGAGCAGGGGCUGAACUUCUGCAAGCAAAGGUUGAAGAGCACUUUUCAUCUGGAGUUAGAGAAGGAACGCAGCCGGUAGUGCUCUACAUGGCUGCUCCAGGUUUUACCCAUCAUUCCCAGGAAAAAAAAAAUAAAGAAAAGAAAAAGAAGAAGGACA